UUUACAGAUUAAAUAUUCUAUUUGCUUUGUCUAAAAUAGUUUUCCUAAAAAAAAUUGUUUAUUAUCAUUAAAAUUUAUAGCCUCUUGAGGGAUUCAAGAUUGCCUUUUGAUUUUACAAACUCUAAGGGUUUUGAGUUUCUGAUAUGGUGUCAGGUGCCAUGCACAAUCUGUUGAGCGUUGUGGAGCCCAAGAGCAAAGUACGCCCUAUGUUUUAUUCACGCCGAAUGCACGAUACAUCUCCCUGGGCACCAUCAAGUUUGCAUGUCUCUAUGCCAUUUAUGUUGGAAACCUGACUUAGAAUCACCCGUAAAUGGAAAGCCUUCCUCUAAAGGGAGUCAUAUUCCUGAAGGCCAUGACUUAGAUUCACUUUCUACUAUUUAGUUUACUUUUUUUUUUA